GUUAAUAAAAGUGGAGAUCGUUAACUCCCAAAAUUUGAUCGUUAAUUCUCCCCUUAGCUGCUAGAAUUUGGUGUUUGAUCAAGAAAAUAUCUUGCUGGAUAAGAUGAUCAUCUCACAGCUGGAGCCUGGGCUGCCUAUGGUGACACAAGCACAUGUUUGAUUAUCUCACAAUCCUUGCAGAAAGAGGCAUAGGCUUAGAUUUGAUGGCGGUUGAGUCCUCAAGACCACUAGUGUCCUACCAAGGCAGUAACUGUUCAUUUUGCCAUUUGACUAGCUGUUUAACAAGAUACACAUGAGGUGGUGAAUGGUUACUUGGAAAUCAGUGCAAGGAGACAUAGACAGCAUAAUCUCAACCAAAAGCAGGAUGGAGCUUAAGCCUUCAGGUUUGGAAGACAACAAACUUGCAUAGUUACAUACAGUGUAUCAACAGGUUUUUCUGUUCUGUGUACAUUACCAAAACUCUUGAGUUUUUGC